CCCCUCGUCGGGACAGACCGGCGAUACCGAGUCACCGAGCACCGAGGCCCCCAGCUCCGAGUCUUCGAGCCCUGAGAUCCUGAACCGCCCCAGCCCCGAGCCUUCUAGCUCUUGAGCCCCCGAGCUCGGAGCCUGGAACGUAGACGUGACAGUGUCUUGACUCCCUGAAUAACGGAGAUUUACACUGUUCAGAUAAGAAGCCAGCCCUAGGCCGGUGUGGAUUUCCUUUCCCCUUGAGCAUAAAGGUGGUAUCUGAUCGUCUCCGCCUGCCUUUAGCAACACCCCCGACCCGCGAUGUCUCAGUACUUUUCCGUCCCCUGGGUUCCCCCCACCCCCACCACCACGCUGACCUUGGCUGUAAACCCCAUUUGUCUUUGUAUUUGGAGUGGAGGCCAGUCUCUCUCCCCUAUUCCAACAGCCUUGAAUAAAGUCUUCCUUACUGUUUUAA